AUCUGGACAGUAGUUAGGAGACCACACAGGAGAAAAGCCAAAAAUUAAGUAGUUCACAAAACAAGAAAAGUACAGAAAACAUUUUCAAUCAACUCAGAAUUAGAGAUGUUAAUGGCACAAAAUCAACCGAAGAUCUGGUCAAAUCCAGUAAGAUGUUAGAGCUUUGUUAAAGUUUUCUCCGUGCAUAUGCUUGACUCAUGGAAUUCCUAUUGAAAGAGGGGAUCACCCAUACACCAUCUUCUAAAGUACCCUGAAAAGCUCUGUGACACAGACAUGCUCUUGCACUGUGGAAUGUGCAUUUCUGAAAA